UACAGAGGUCUCAAGCGUUGUUCGGAUUCAUUGGGCGUAAAGGGUGCGUAGGCGGCGCGGUAAGUCGGGUGUGAAAUCUCGGAGCUUAACUCCGAAACUGCAUUCGAUACUGCCGUGCUUGAGGACUGGAGAGGAGACUGGAAUUUACGGUGUAGCGGUGAAAUGCGUAGAUAUCGUAAGGAAGACCGGUGGCGAAGGCGGGUCUCUGGGCCGUAACUGACGCUGAGGAGCGAAAGCAUGGGGAGCGAACAGG
rnacentral:rRNA from 1 species